GAUGUGUGUUCUUGGACUAGAUUUGGAACAAAUGGCUUUCCCCUUCAGUUGGCAUAUGUAGGCACACAGCACAAUGUGUUUCAGGCAAGUGCAGACAUGGAAGUCCACUAGGGGUUUGAGCCCCUGCCCUUUUAUCUUCUUGAGCAAAAGUUCCCUUUUCCUGCGGUUUCCAAUAUUUAAGGAAUGAUUCACAGACGGUUGUUGGUCUAUAUAUCUGCCUUUCAAUGGGGAAAGAGGGGGCCCGACAAAACUCCUGUCACAAACAAUCAACCUCCAUUUGACUCUGGCGCACAAGUCUAAUCAUCCUGAAUGACAUUCUACUAGCAAGCUUUCAGGUAACAUUCAACUUCUUCUACUGAAGUCCACGAUAGUGCAGUUCUAGUCUGCACUAGUCCAUAUGAAUUGGCUAGGGUACCUUAUGAAUUGGAACAAGCUUUACUUUGUUGCAUUCAAUGAGUGAAAUGGCUACCCUGCCCCGUCAAAAACCAUGAACUGGUGAUAAAGAAAUAGUAUUGCUAUUGUUCAGAAUCAAAUGGCAAACUUUUUCUUAAUAUCCUAUUCAUAUAUCCUGACCCUAUGCUAUUAAUAGCCAGCUCUAUUUUAUGUGUUUUUGGGUGCCUUUUGGUGAUAUCUCCAGGGUGGCGCGCAAAGGAGGGAGAAGAGAAGAAGCAGCCAGAGCCGAAGGCAGUCAUUAAGCAACAGGAAUUUGUAUCCAGUAUGCAGACAAUCGAAAAGCCUAAUGCUGAAGUCAACCUUAAGAUAAUUAUUAGACGAAAAGCAGAUAGCUAAACCAUUAAUACAAGUGUUAUUAUACUGAACACAGCGAUUGCACUGAAAGUAACAUUCUAGAAAUGAUUGACUGGGGAACAACACUUGGAGCAUGUUUGGGGCAUGUUGAUCGUACACUCAGAGUAUGUUUCAUAUUCGAUUUUUUUGAUAACGGCCAUGAUUAUCAAAAUAAUUGCGGUUUUCAGAGAUUGAGCCCUUAACCCUUUUGAAAUCGAUGCGCAUCCCUAAUGUUUUCACUGCAUCCCCUAUUAAACACAUUGAUAUCUACACUCUUCCUCCAUAUGUCGUCCAAUAUAAAACGAUGCAAUCUACCACUUGAGUCUAUUCACGAGUUCAUCGUUCCAACUUGAAUGACCAGAAGGAAGAGCCUUGGGAACCACUAACAGCAAAACGAGUUUCCCCCCUGCAAAGCAGACAAAUAUUGUGUCUGGAGCAUGCUGGAUACUGUACAUUUGAGGGAACUCCAUGACUGAUGAUUUUUCAUUUAAAAAACAACAACAAAAGUGUUUGUUUUUCUGAACCACAGUGGAACGCCACAGAGGAUAGUGUCUCUGCCAAAGCUAACUUGCUGUUCAAUAAACGCUAUUCAUACAAUGAACAUAAAUAAACCAUGUAUCAACAGAGACUUUCAACAACAUGUUAGAUAUGAAUAAUAAAAUAAAAGGAAAUAAUUAUUAAUUUACAUGUUAUAAGAAAGUCGUUGGCCCCCAUCUACACAUCUAGAAAGUAUAUUCGGUCACAACAUCUUCCCAUGGUAGAACAGACAAAUCAAUGAUAUUUUCAAUGCCAGAAUUAGGCUAAUAUUUUUCACAGACCAUGCUAAAUGGACAAAUAUUUGCCUCCAAAAAAAAGAAGCUAUGGAUAUAUGGAACGACAGAGUGCAAACAUAGUGCUAGAUAAAAGUAUUAUUAGUAGUAGUAGUUGUGUAGGGUAUAGUAGUAGUAGUAGUAGUAGUAGAAGAAGCAGUAGUUGAAUUUUGAUUUGAUUUAGCUUUGAUUUAUGGAGGAGGACAUUAGUUGAAUGUUGAGAAUAUAUGCAUAUAAGAUAUAUAUUACAUACUGUAUCAUAUUAUAUCAUAUUCAUGGCCUGGGAAAUAUUCUUUGCACAGCCAAAUGUUGGUUGUAGCUGUAACUGUUUACAGAGGAAAAGUCAGCACACACACACACACACACACACACACACAC